rnacentral:hammerhead_ribozyme from 1 species
GUCCAGACGACGAGUCCCAAAUAGGACGAAAUCCGCGUCCUGGAU